rnacentral:lncRNA from 1 species
UUUUUUUUUUUUUUUUUUUUUUUGUAAAAAAGGGGAGUAGAUAAUUUAAUUUUCUUGAUAUGUUUAAGAAAAUUGUUCACAUAUGGUUUCAAGUAUGAGCAGACACCGUGUGGUCAAAGUGUGUUCUAACUUCUACAUCAUCAAGCAAAGACUAAAGAGGUACCUAGUUUCAACCCUUUGACCUCUACCCCAAAUAUUUACCUGUAUUAUAAGAAAACCUUUUAAUAUAUUUUUAAACAUUUUUUUAAAAAGUUUUUUCCUGAUAUUUUACAGUCUUUUGUAAAUACUUCAUUUUAAUUGAAACUAUAAUCAUGAAGGAUUCAGACUUCAACUUUUGGAUCCUACUGAUACUCCCUAAAGAAGAUGGAAUGCUAAAAAUUUGUUUGGAUUGCGAUUUUUUGUACAAAAUUUUUUACGUUUUUCGUGAACAUAUUUUUUAAUUAUUUUUUUAUUCUACAUAUAUCAAAUUAUUAUGAUACAUUUUUUUUUUUCAAAAACUUUUAAAAAUAGCAAUAAGUACUAAUUUAUGCAAGUAUUUGCCUUCUAUCAGUUUUCUAUCAUCAAGUGCCAAGCAUAACCUAACAGCGGAGAAGACUUUAAGUGCUCUCUCCUAAGUCGACCCAGUGAUUUUUCUACUAGUAGCUUUCAACAAUAUUAAGUCUCUCCUGAGUCGACCUAGUGGUUUUUUCAUUAGUAGCUUUCAACAAUAUUAAGUCCGUAAUAUAUCACCUUUACUUUUCAGGUAUUUAAUCCUUGAGGAUGUCGAUUUCAGCUAUUUUUACUGUCUUUUGAGGAUUUCUUUGGGCCAAAUCAAAAUUUCUUGGGUCAGUGGAAAUGGCCAGGUUUUCUUUUGAAUUUCAAUGCGUAUACACAGAAAUUAAGUCUUACUUUUUGAAGGAAAUGACAAUGUUCCAAUCCAAUUUGUUCAACACUUCAAUUUUUUUUUCUUUUGUAUUAGUAAUAAGAAAAAAAAAUAAGAAUUUCCUUGUAGGUUUUGCUUAGUCUAGUUACUGUACAAAUGAUCUAGCCUAAUGAUUAUGGACUCUUUUCUUUAGGUUCAAUUUUUGGACGGGAUCAAGGGUACAUUUUUGCAAUUUGCAUCUAUUAAUCAUCUACAGUACUUAAUGUUUUACCUACUUAAUUCAAAAUGAGUUGAAUCUUGCUCAGCAUUAUGGUCCAAUUUGACCUGAAUCAAUUAUAAUAAGUAAGCAAUUACUUCUUUAAUUCUUUUUAUUGAGAAGGAGACAUUUGCUGGCUUACAUUUAAGGUACGGAUUUAUCCUGUUCUUUAGAAAAGACCCUUGUUUUUUCCACCUUCUGAUUCCCCUUAUCACCAAAUUUUCUUGAUUUAUUUCUUACAUCCACAUUUGGUUCAUUUUUAAGCAGAUAAAAAAGAAAGUUGUUUCUAUGAGCACCCUUGAAGAUGAGACUUUUAAAUAUUCUUAUUUUUUUUUAAAACGCUCACGGGGAAAUAUAAUUCUUGGAAAACCUCAAAAAAUAAUUUAGGGGUUACUUUUUUCAUUUUAUUUUUUUUCAAGUUGCUCUGAAAAAAAAAUUAAACCCAAAUAGAAUUAGCAAAUCAUAGUUCUAAACAUAAAAUCCAAUUUGUAAGCAAUGCUGAUCAAUAGUUAUACCAUAUCUUGCAUCAAUAUACUCAUAUUUUCUUAUUUUCUUGUAUAACAAAUGAAAGUACUAUGGAUAUUUCAAGUGGCCAAGGGUAGAUGAAUGCAGGUUCACUUCAGAGCACAAAUUAGGCUUUUGUACUAUAUAAAUUAUUCUUCAAAAUAAAUUUUGGACCAAAACUUUAACUUAAAUUUCAUUUUUUUUUGGUUAAAAUAUGAUUUUCUACUUAGCUCUUUUGAUUUAGAGAGAGGUUAUUUCGUUUGAUUAAAAGAAAAUCAUAUUCCAAUGCUAUUUCUUAACCUUCUCUUAUAAACCUCAAAACCUCUAUCAUUGGGUCCUGUUUCUGGCUCUAUAGGUCAAGAAUAUGCAUUAUUUUGGGUGUAAACCAACCCAAGAAAAGAUACUAUAUUAAUUGUCAUAAUAUAUAUGUACAUGUUUAUCUAUAUAAAUCUUGAAGGAGUAUAUGCAUUUGUGUUUUAACAUGAAUUUCUUCAUUUUUCUUGGGACUAAAUGCUUGCAUUUUCAUGUGGUUCUUGAAAUAUUCUGCCCUCUCACAUGGCCACUCCUUAAAUUUAGCCAUGUAAAAUUCUAGUUUUUUUUUUUAUCCAAUUCUUAGUGUGUGUCUGUGUUUUUAUUGCUUUUAAUUUUCUUUUUCAUUUUUUUGAGGACCAUUGCAGCAUUUCUCUAUCUAAGACUUCUUUGUUUUGCAUAUGUAAGGCUUCUUUUUUAUUAAUUUGUCCAUAAAAGUGAGGAGGAUGACAGGUGCAAUGUACCAUACUUAUUUAGGUUAUUAAAUUGGUAGGUUGUAGCCAAUUUCAAAUUGAAUUGGCCCAUCAAUAGUUGUUUUUUAUUUUAUUUUUAUUUUUUAUGAAAGACCCAUAAAUAGUGGCUACACUACAAAAUUGUCAAAAUUUGUCCAACCAGGAAUUCAUCAAUGAACACCACUAUAGUGGUCAUCAUCUACAUUUUAUACAGUCAAUCAUUAUUUGUAUUUUCUUUACUUUUUUCAAUAUAUAUAUAUAUAUGCAUAUAUACAUAUUAUGUUGGUAAGCUAUAUAUAUAAACUUAUAUAGCUUUAGCUUGAUAAGAAUACACAAAUCAAGGGGUAAAAUUCUUAAAAAAAUACAUAACACCUCUUAACUAGUAACUGCCUACAACUUUUGCCAACUUUUUUAUAUUAUAAUUUAUGAACUUUCGAUUAAUCUUUUGUACUCAUCAUCCUGUAAUACCAUUUUACAUGAGAAUAUUUAUUAUUUUUUUUGCAACAUAAUGUGGAAAUCAUUCAAUAAUGUAUCUUAUCUUAUGGAGUCUGCUAUCUAGGAUUUGUUAUUUCUGUCAGAGUUUGCCAGGAGCUGCAUGAUACUAAUUUACUCAUCUAAUUACAUUUUUUAGGAACAUAAAGAAACUAAUAGCUAGGUUAGAAGAAAUGUACUAGAAAAACAAUUCUCAUGUUGCUUUUCUAAGACUUUCUGUAGAUUGAGAUGGUCUUCAGCCACCUUGUACAAUUCAUUCUUUUUUUGCAGUAUUAGCAAUUGGUCCAAGAAAAAAUUGCAUCCACAUUCUGCACUAAUGGUUGGAUGAUUGAUGUUUUAGGCUCAUUGGUACGUUUUAUGGUAUCUUUGUAGGUUAGAAAUGCAGUGGACCAUGUGCACAUGGGAACAGAUGCUCUUCAAACUGCUAAGAAUUUGCAGAAGAAAUCAAGAAAAUGCAUGAUGAUUGCCAUGAUUUUGUUUCUGGUUAUUGCAGCAAUAAUCGUAUUAUCCAUCCUGAAGCCUUGGAAGAAAUGACAGCAGAUCAAACAACUAAUGGUAACUCUAGUGCUAAAUUUGUUGUCCAAUUCUCUUGUUACACAUACCACUUUCUCACAUGUAUGGUAUCCAGAUUCUUUUUGAUUUCUUCAUCUCCCCAAUAAUCCCAAGGUGUCUGUAAGAUUAUUAUCAGAUACAGCCUCCAAUGAAUGAAUAUAACACAAGAAUUUUUUCGUUCCAGUGCUCUCAGAACCCCUAAGCGUUUGUUUCUUCCUCAAAAGAACAAAUUCGUGGUAACAUGCACUUUUUCUUUUCCAGCUGAGUUCUCACAUCAAUUUUUGCCCUAUUACUCAGAUGAUCUGACUUAGAUCAGACAAGUCUAAAUUGUUUGGUUAUUGUGGAGAAUAUGACAAAAUCAUAGUCUACCUCAUUCUGCUAAUUCUGGAUGGUCCUUGCAUAAUCUGGAGUUAACUAGUUUGGUUUGCUUUAAAAAGCAAAAAAAAAAAAAAAUUGGCGAUGUAUGAAACUUUAGAGGUAGCUUCUUGAACCAUUUGGCAUUUCUCUUACUGUUUGAGGACAAAAGAUUUGAGCUGCUUCUAAAGCCUAGUUAUGUGAUAAAAACUAAAAGGGUACUGGGAUCUAUUUUAUGUAUUGCAAAGGAAACUUUAAGUAUCUGUAUCUAGCUUUUUUGCAUUAUCUGAAUAGUGGGUACAAAUACAAUCUGUGGCAAGUAUUCUAGGAGAAUCAUCCAUCAAAGUACAUUUGAUCUUUUUCAAAGUCAUGAUGUGGUUGCUGAGCACUGAUUGCAGGAUGAGCUUGACAAGUUGUAACAUAUAUAUUCCAAUCAAAUGGAUUCAAGUCUCAAACAGAUGCACUUAAAGCAUGAGACUAUCCAACAAUAUUUGGACCCAAAAAAGUUGGCCAUGAUAAUCCAAUCACCUAUGAAAUUAUUGAAAGCAUAAAAACACAUAUUAUUAUGCACAGUUCAAGAAAUGGAAACACAUAAUUGUCAAGCUUUCCCAUCAUUAUACUCGGAAAUUCUCUCACAAUCUUGACUUUGCAAUGACAACGCUAGCAGCAUCACCAAUGUCUGUUGCUCCUGGCCUAGUCCAUGUAUCUUUGAACUGCUCUUCUGUCACUCCUGUGUAAUUAAUGAAUCUGUUAGUCUCUUUUCUGCUCCUAAGAUAUGAAACUAGGACAUGAAUGUAAUAUACUGAUAAUAGUGAAGAAACAAAAAUUAGAAAGGGGAGGAUGUGAUUUGCCUUUGCCCAUAGCAGCAGUGGAAGUGAUGCCUCCCUGGACCGUCCUCAGGACUCUGUCAUAGUAAUUUGCUCCAGACCAUUUCUGAUGGGCUAGUGUAUCAACCUCAUGGUUCCUUUCCUCUCUUUGAAUUUUCUCCACAUAUGCAAGCAUUCCUCUUCUUGCAAAAUCCUUAGCAAAUGUGUCAACAAUAAGAGCAUCAGCAUGGAAACCAGCCACGGUAAUGAACUGCCAACAAUAGCCCAAUUUGGCAAUUCUGGGAAUGAAAUCUCUCAUCUGCUCAUCAGUCAUUCCUGAUGCAUCCCAGUUGAAAGAAGGUGAGAGAUUGUAAGCCAACAUGAUCUCAGGGCACCUGGACCUCACUCCUUCAGCAAAUUUUGUGCAUUCAACCAAGUCAGGGCCAGCAGUCUCCAUCCAAAUUAGAUCAGCGUAUGAAGCAAAAGCCCAGCCACGAACAAUAGCAGCCGUCACAGAUCCCUUAAAUCUGUAGAAACCCUCUCUGGUUCUAGGCAGGUCCCAAUCCCAGAAAAUAUUAAGUCCCAUUCUUUCAGCAAUCAGUCUUCCUUCCUCGUUUGACAAGCAUUUCUCGAAACUUGAAUGAUACAUCCACUCGUCCAACCUCCUCUGCUUCUCAGCUUCACUGAUAUUCAUCCUCUUGAUUCCAUCAACUACACAAUCAGAAAAUGUUUUCAAUCGUGCCAUUGAUAGCCAGUUAUCCUCAAUAGCUUGAAGCUCUGGUCCUGUUUUACCAGCAGCCAUUGCUUCACCUAGGAUAGUGGCUAAACUCUUCCCCUUGAGUUGUGGAUUAGUAACACCCAAAAUGAACUGAUGAUCUCUAGUAUCAACAUUGGUUUGGAUUAAUGUUGCGGCUUCCGCAUCGGUACGAGCAACUAAAACUGUCUCUGUACCCAUGAUAUCAAAUUGUAGCCUGGCAGCAACCAGCCUAUUAACGUGUUCACUCACUGCAACAAGAACUUUGCCAGCCAUGUGACCGCAUUUUUUGGUAACGGAGGACUGAUCCUCAAUAUGGACUCCAGCAGCUCCACGUUCCACAAAAAGCUUGCAAAGCUUGACAGUUGCAGUUGCACCACCAAAUCCAGUAUCGCCAUCAGCAAUGAUGGGCUUCAAGUAAUCAAUAUAUGGAGUUCUAGCCCUCUCUUCACGGCUCAUGCCCAUUCUGGCCUCCCUUUGUUUCCUGUCAUGGUAUUGUUGAGCAAAAAAAAGGUGCUCAACCUUGUUAGGAACGGUAUCAUAGGGAUAAUCAGCAAGGUCAGGUCCUGGUUCAUUUGAGCUAGUGUGGGUGGAUGAGCAUUGCCAGCCAGAGACAUAGAUGGAGUCCAGAUGCUUGGCCAUCAUGGUGACUUGAACAGGAUCAAGAGCACCAAAGGUUCUUGAUGCUGUGCCAUUGGCCUGGUGAGUUUUGAGAGUCCUCCAGAGCUUCUUGGCCAUCUCAUUUGAUCCAUAGUUUUGCCUAAGGUUGCCGCGCAGCGCGACGACAUCCCUUGCUGAAUAUGGUCUUUUCGUGAGCUUGAAUCUCUCAGAGUUCCACCAGGCUUGCACCUCUGCCACUUCUGAUUCAAAUCGCCCCUCUUCUUCCAUAAUCUUCAAAUACAAUUUGGAUAAAGUAAGGUAGAGAUCCAUUAGAUACGGUCAAUUUUCCUCAAUAUAAAUCAACACUAGUAAAGAUCAAGUCAUUGCAAAAAUAUUGAAUCCCUUGCAACUUCCUAAAAUGUCAAAUACAUUCGCCUAGACUUUCUAAGAGGAAUGAAACCUCAUUUUAGGUCUUAAAUUUUUCUUAGAUGAAAGGCAGAAAAAUAUUUCCAAGUCAUUAUUCUUCCUAGAUGCAGUCGCUUGCAGGCUAUCAUCUUUAGAAAACACCAGAUAUAAUUAUCAUGAAAUUGAUUAUAAAAAGACUAAUGCUCUGAUUCUAAAUUUUGAGUUUCCAGCACUGCUAGAGAAUUGUUAAAUCGGAUUGAAACUAGAACUCAGAGGAAGCAUAAUUGAAUUAAGGAUGCAAUAGAUCAUGCACGAUUCACAGGCAUGACAAUUAAGUUACUGGGACAAGACCAGUUCAGGCUAGUUGGAAAAUAAUUUCUUGAUUCCACUUUUAAUUGUCACUGUCACACAAGAGUUAUAGUUUAAAUAUUCCAAUAAUCUUAGAGACAAACGGUCCAAGAUCAACAACAUCAAGUAAUAUGAAAGCAAAAGAAAACCAAAAGGGAUUCAAUAUUAACCUCCAAAACUUAAUAAACAUGAGUUAUGAUGAUGAAGGCGUGAAUACACCUGCAUCUAACCUAGGGAAAUUGCAUGUCCAUACCAAGAAACCAGAUAUAGACAGAAUAAUAAUAAGCAUUGCAACUGAAAUUGCUUUAGCUUACAGCCUCUUCUACAUGUUUUCCAAUCAGAUCAAAUAUCUAAAGGUAACAAUCAACAAACUAUCUAUACAUUUUUCUUCCUGUCCAAAACUAACUUAGCAAGACAGCAUGUUUCUAUAGAUAAUAUUCUUGAUUAAGCUAUGAUAAACAUGAGCUAUAGAAUCCCAAAUAACAUGUCGAGAGACUAAGAUAUCAGGUUAGAAGACCUGAAGAGAGCUCAAAAUGCAGUUUCUAAAGGUCUUUUUACAAAACCUUCCUAAAGAAUAAUAUCAAAGAAGCCUAUCUCACGAUUAUAUGCACAGAUAAAGAUGCACUGUGGCCAAAUAUUUCUAUAUUGGACACCCUCACAAGCUGAAAGCUGAGCUCAAGAAAAGCUCAGACGGAUACACGCCUGAUCAUGAAAUGGAAAAAGCUGAAAAGGGAUGAAACUUUAGACCAAGAAAUGAUUGAAAAGGAAAAGCCUUGUUGCAUAUCUUACCAUUGAUGGAACCGAGAAAGAUGAAGCCAUGGCUAGAAAUCUAUAUUUUUUUUAGCAAAGUGUUAGAUAGCUAUGCAAAUGUUAUUGCUAAUGUGUUGAAAUGGUUCAACCAAAGCUCCAAUUUAUACUGCGUGGGAGGACUAUUACACUUGUUCUAUCAAGUGUAAAAAAUUUUAAAAAAAAUUUUAAAAAAAAUAUAAAAAAGCCUCCCAAUAAAGAUAAGGGAAAUGCAGAAUCCAAGAAAAUUCCACCUCAUUCAAUCUUUUAUAGUUAUCUAUUUAUUGCCAAGAAGAUGUAGAUAAAAUAAAGUGUUUGCUUAUUAGAGCUGCAAUUGUAGCAGGCAGCUGGGCGGUUCUGCAACCAUUACACACUUUUACCCCUAUGGUUAGUCUUUUUGUCCUGUUCCUUCGUGCAUGACCUCACUCACCGUUCAUGCUCCUAGCGGCCUAUGUAUGUUUCCUUGUUCGAGUUUAAUGCAUUCGGAAUUAUGUAAGCAAUACAAAUAUUAACUUCCUUUAAUCAUAAAUAGGGAUGGCAAUGCGGGCACCGGCUCCGCAGGGGAGUAAUGGGGCAGGGGUGGGAACGGGGGAAUUUUUUUUCCCCAUUUUAAAUGGGACAGGGCCUGUCCCCCACUUCAAUUUGUUAAUAUAAAUAAAUGUAAUAUAUUAUAUAAUCUAAUAACAAUAAAUUAUUAGUGAGAUUGCAUUAGUUUGUUAGCUAUGAAGAAGAACAUGAUUUUAUCAUUAGGUUUGAUUCAGAAGUGUUCCAUUCAUUUGAGAUGGCUGCUAUUGGACUCUUUCGAUUUUAGCAAUCUUACCCUAAACGUAAAAAAAAUACAGGUUAUUUUUGUUUUUGGUUUUGAGCCCCAAUGGCAUCUAAUUGUACUACCACUCCGAAUGCUUGUUGGUUACUGUAUAGCAAGAGUGCUUCGUUGUUGAGGUGGUAAUAUUCUUUCUUACACAGAAAAUUCCUAGUUGAUGUCUGUCACAAAUAUGUUACCCGUUUUAUGAGCAUUUUUAGAUGCUAUCUAUACAAUUUAAUUGAGUUUUUUAAUUUUUUUGAUAUUUUAUUUCAACACUUUUUGUGUUUCAUUUUUCAUUUUUCACUUUUUUCAGAUUGAUAUUUUAUUUUGUUUUUUGAAUUUAGGUUUGAUCUAUUAAAUAAAAGCUUUUAGAAAAAAAUCAAAUUAUCACCCGCAGGCACCCGUGAGGUAAGCGGGACGGGGGAUAGGGGAAGUGGAGGCGGGAGGAUGGAACGGGGGCAGGGAGAGUUUUUUGGCAACAGGGCAGGGCAUCCUGCCCCAAACCCGCCCCAUUGUCAUCCCUAAUCAUGAAAACAAAAGGAAAUAUGAUUUUACUCGAGGAUUUUAAGGUGGAAGAUUAAUAUGGUGGAUAUUCUAACUAAAAAAAAUGUGGCAUAUAUAACGUUCCAUCAGAAACUCGGGCUUCCACAAUUGCUGACAAUUACCUUACGCAAUAUAUAUGCUAAUACAACAAAUAUAGGCAGUAAUAGACGCGUAUUUUAUCAAGGGAGGUUCUCCCAACUGUUACCUAAUUUGACAUGUUUUUACUAGUGAUAGUGUUAAGUAAUAUUCUUUAUUUGUUUAUUUAAUCAUACACAUAAAAAUUGUUCCUAUGACCAAAAGAACAUUAAUGUUGAAGAGGCAGAUCUAACCGCAAACCUUGUGAUAUAGAGUGAGUGCUAAUACGGCCAUCCGAAGCGGCAGAAACCGGGGAGAGGGGCCAGUGCACUUGAGGUCUAGUACGGUUUGAUUCGGUUAUUGUAUUUUUUAAAAAUAUUAUUUGGUGUAUAGUUACAUUAUUAUUAUAUUCGAAAUAAAAGUGAUGUACAUAAAUAAAAUAUUUGACAUAUAUUUUUUAAUAACAUUAUGAUGUAUUUGUAUAUUUAUAAUUUAAAUUUGUAAAUUUGUACGAUAAUUAUUAGAUGAAAUCACACAAAACACAAUUAUACUGAGCCAGAAAUUGCCAAUUAAGGCCAUUAAAUGUCAAAUAGCCUCAGUUAGACCUCCAAAAUAAGUAAUUUGUGUCAAUGUAGUCCUUCCAAACAAGUUUGCUAAUUUUGUGGAUUGCCAAUUUUGUUACCUUGGAUAAAUGUUGAAAGACUUUUUUGAUUGAAGUAAUUGGAUUAAAGUACACGUAUGACCUCUUGUCGUGUUUCCACAUAUUGAAAAAUGUUUUGUACUCAUCCAUAAACCAUCUUAUCCUCCUUGCGUUCUCAGUACGUAGCUAGAUUUCUUUUAACCCUUAAACUUGGAUUUGUAUUGCAUGAGCUCUUUCCCUGCAUGUAUCAAUACGAGGUUCUACGUAACUUUUAUGUAAAAGAAGUUUCCAUUUUAUUCCUUCGAGUUAUAAUUUUAGUCUUCCAAUUUUUUUGCAUCAAAGUAAUUAAGCCUGCAAGUGCUUUUCACUCCUCAAAACAUGAAAAGAUCAGUUGAUAGAUAAAGAGAGUUUAGUUGAAUCAGAUUGAAAUAUAAAGUUCCAAAUCCAAACACAAGAAACUUUCAGAGAUAAAUCGAAGUUGGCUAAAACAGUAAAAGUUCGAGGAAAAAAAAUCAUUUGGUCGACAAAAGAAAAAAAAAUGAAACUUUUUAAUAAAUAUGACUCAGUCUUUACCAACAAUCAUUUUUCAAAAUUUUUUGGACCCUUUUGCAAUAUACAAAUUUUAAACUUUUUGGCCUCUUUCGUAUGAAUUUUUUUGUUAUCAUAACGAUAGAAUUUAUAUAAACUAAUCUAAGGGAAGAGCCUCUUUCGUAUGGAUAUGGGUUCGAAAUUUCAGAUAUCAUCUAACAUCCUCCUCAGUGUCCCAUCACUGAGCAAGCCAUUAGAAGAGAUAAUGGAGAAGCAAUUAAUUUAUUCUUGUUUUUACCCCUCUUCAUAACCUACGGACACGGGGCACAAACGGCAGCAGCCGUUUGUGCCGGUUUUAUUUAUUUUCAAUUGCACGUAAUUUUUAUUGCACAUGAUGUAACUUAUUUUGCACACGACGUAAUUUUACAACACUUUUUUGCGAGUCCCACACAUGACGUGAAAAUCGAGUUACAUGCUGUAAUUUGAGCCGCACAAAUUUUUGAAGUCACAUCGUGGCCGUGAAUCUUCAGGAACAGUUGUCUCUGACAACCGUUCCUGCCCCAUUUCCAUAACCUAUAAACCGUGGUGGCAUGAAACCCAGAGAGAGAGAGAGAGAGAGAGAAGGAAAAUGCCCAUCUUUCUCUUGUGAAGGUCAUAUGAAAAUGAUGGACUCCAUUGGAUGAGAUAGAAUGUGGAUAAAAUUUCAUUACAUAUUCUUUUUAUAGUUCAAAUUUUUUAUAAGAAUAUUCAAUAGAUAUUUUUUUUAAAAAAAAUUUAGUAUGUAAGAUAUGGGACUUAAGAAACGGAAAAGAUAAGGAAGAUUUGAAAUAAGAACCUUCAGUAUUUCGGAUUUCAUCUUUAGCCAAGAGAUUUUUUAUCGGAGUAAAGUAUUCAAUAGAUAAAAGUUUCAAGAAUAAUUGGAAACAAUACAUGUCCCAAGAUUUAAAUGAAACAGAGAAAAAGCAAACUUUGUUGAGAAAAUAAAAGGAAAAGAGCCCAGAGAAGAAGCAGAAAAGUAGUUUUUGAUUAUACUGACAAGAUUACAGUCAAAAAGAAGCAGCUGUUGGUAGCAGAUCCAACGUCAUGAACUGCAAUGGAGAUUAAGAUUAUUUAUUCACUCAAGCAGAUUGCCAUGACGAAUGGCACAAAAAGAUGAUUCCUACUUCCUAACGGAGCUGCUUUACAGGCAAGUGGCAGGGUAUAUUUGCAACACAUGUAGAUGAAGCUGAGAAAAAAGUUUGGAUGACGGUAUUUUUUUUUAUUAAUUUCCUGGAGAAGAGUUUUUCUCUCUUUAUUUGUUUUUUUGGGCUAUAAUUUCUUUCUUCUUGGAGAAAGUCAGCAGAAACUCUUUUUUUUUUUUUUUUUUUAGAAAAUGACACGUAAAUGGUAACUAUUGUCAAGUGCACAGUCAUCAGAUUAGGUCCAAUUUUGGAUGAGAAUUUCCCAAUUCUUGAGUCCAACUUUGUAGCCGAGGGUUUGGCAUUCCAAGGCGAAGGAAGUGAAGACUAAGCUAGAGUUGUAACGACUACUUGACAUGUUUGCAUUUACACCUUGAGUUGAGUUGACGUACACGAAUAAAAUUUAUACAUAUAAAAAAAAAGGAAUAUAAGCAUACAUCAAAUUAUAUAAAAAUACAAGAAAAAUAUAUCAUGUUAAAAAAGAAUUAGUUGACCAUUAAAGUACCAACAACUAUGACAUUAACACCAGCCAUUUUAUUAUCUGAAGUUUUUGGGCACAUUUACUAUGUGUGUAAUUUAUCAAACGAUCAUAUAUAAAUCUUGGACAACUUUAAAUAAUUUUGUGGGAUGUGAAAAGAGUUAUUGAAUACCACAUUUAUUUAUAAACAAUAAAGGUUUGGAUCGCAUCCAUUAGGCAAACUCCGGGCAUCCAUCCCUCCAUCUACCUAAGUUUUCAAACUCGGACUGGAUCGCUCAAUUUAAUCGACGGAACUGGGAAUCGGUGAGAAUUUGGUCCAAACAUAGUUAGAAAAACCGGCUGGUAAAAGGUUCAAUCAAACUCGAUCAAUAACCGGGUUGAUUUGGGAUUUUGAAAGCCCCAUUCUUGGUUUCCGAAAGUUUUGCAACUUUUUUUCCCAAAAAAAAAAAAAAAAAAGAAGAAGAAGAAUCACCAUUCUUUCCCUAUUUUUCAAACAAAUCUAUAACAGUGAACUUGCUGCCAUUUAUAGAGAUAAACAAGCAAUACAAAUCUAAGAUCAAGAAGGAAAAUUUGCAGAUCUAAGAUCAAGAAUCAAAAUAAGAGAAGAAAAAAAGAAAUGCAAGCGGAAAGAAGAGAAAGAAAUUAAUAAGUUUUCAUGUUUUUUGUUUGAUAAAUAUAGAAAAAAGAAUCGAAGAUGAGGACCCAGAACUAUAAGACAAAAUUGAUAAAAGAUAAGAUUAAAAGAAAGUGUAAAAGAGAGGGAAUAGGAACGGAAGAACCGGGAAAAACGUGAACGCAACUACAGCAUAUGUAGGCCAUAGAGUGAGAAACUAGAGAUAGCUACCUUAAGUUUUUUAACAUUUCAUUUUUUCCCUACUACUUUUUAAAUUAUUACCAAAGUUCCUAAAACUUUUUCUAAUGUCAUUUGCAUCAUCAAUUUUGAUGUCUAUUUUCAAACAAGUCUCAUACACAAGUUAUAGACUUAGAAUUUGAAAAUAUCAACUUGGAGCUUGACUUCAAUGCUUUUGAAUUUUAUUAAGCUAUGUGUUAUUCCUAAUUUGUGAGGUUAUUGGCUGUGUUAUAUGUACUUGAGUUUUCAAAGUUGAUUUUGUUUUGUGUGUACGAUAUGUAGGAAAUGUGUAAGAAAAAAAGGAAAAUACCAAGUGUAUGUACUUUUUAUAGCAUUUAACAUUAUAUAUAUUUAAUAUAUAUAUUUUAUGAUAUCAUAAUGAUGUCAUCCGAUUCUUAACCAGGUUCGACUCCUGUCAAAUUCAUUAACCUUUGACCCCUGAGUUUCGUUGAAUUAUUGUCUGGUCUGAGUUUUAAGACAUAGCUAUCUACUUAGACAUUGUAUAGUAUGUGUGCUUAUAUUCGAAUUUAAAAUGGAAAUAGUUGUUACGACAAUCGUAUCUCAAAAAGUCAUCAUUGAUUAUUUGAAGUCUUUUUUAGGAGAAAAGCCCUCGAAAGCACGUAAAACAAUAACUACAUCAGUAGGAAGGAAGGAGAGAAGGAUUUUGAUUGCUAUCUUUCGAAUCAAACUAAAUAAUUGAGGUGAUUUUCAAUAUUAAUUAUCUUUCAAGCUUAAAUAGUUGUUUAUCCAUGGAAAUGUCGUUGCCUUUUUGACUAGGACUAAAUCAAUUUUGCAUCCAUUAAUAUAAAUACAGGCAGCACAAAAGUACCAAAUGAAGUUAUAUAACAGUUGUGUGUUGGAUAUGAAAAUUAUAAACCUUAAACAAUUUCAAUCUAUUAAUUAAUUGUCAAUUAGCUUUCAACUUUAGUGCCACAAAUUCUCUACCUACCAAUAGCAAAAUUCCAUGCAGUCAAGUUUUAAUUAAUCAAACCAAUUAUCACCACCCUCUUCCAAUAAUUUGAAUUGGAGUUAUAUAUCAAAAAAUUAUUUACUCACAUCACACACAUUUUUAUCUUUUGAAUUAUCUUUUUAUCCCAUAUACAGAAAAGUGUUAUAAUAAUUAUUUCAAAUAAUAUUUCAAACAAUCUCCAAUCCAAACCAUCCCCUUGAUAUCAAAUUUUUUUUUUUUCAAUAUAUGAGUGUCCGGGUCAAUUCUAGAUAUCAAAUUUCUUGUUUUCAUAAUCAAUUUAUGCAUGUACGUAACAAAUUGUGUGUUGCGCGUGUACACAAUCUAGUCAGACAAAGUAUGGGAAGAUUUGGACAAGACGUCAGAGAAGUGGUGAGGCUUAGGCAAAGGGAUAGAGAUGGCAAAGUGGAGUACGUUACUGCUCCUAGGCUGCAAACAAGGCAACGAGGUCCCUUUUGGGGUAGGCUUGGAGUUAAAUUACAUACUUCUCGUUUUUUUUUUUUUAAUAUGUGAAAAUUCUAGAAGAUGAUGGCAUAUGAUCACGGAAUUAGACUACUCCCUCCAUGGUAUAAAAUUUGUUAUUUUUGUCAUUUUUUCUUAUCCGAAAUUAGUAGUCAUUUUAUAGAAAUAAAUUUAUAUAUUUUAAUGAAAUUUUAUUUUUAUUUUUCAUUUGAUCCGUUACUUAUUCCCUAUAAUUAUUAAUAUAUUAAAUAACAAAUAGUCUACUUCUAAGGAAAUAAAAGAAAAAUAAGAAUUUUUUUGUAAUAAUAUUAUUACACAUAAAUUACACGUUGUCUCAAAAAUGACAAAUCGGAGAGCAUUUAUUUCAAGGGUAAAGGGGCAGAUGAAUAAAUUAACGUUGAAUUUUUUCUUGGGAUCCGCAACAUCUGAUUUGAUUGGCUCGUGGAAGGAUUGGAAAGAAAUGGUGCUUGUCUUUUCAGCAUUUCAAGAACAUAACUAUUUGGCUUUUCCUUUAAUUUUUUUUUGUUUUUGUUCCUUUGCAAAUUGUGUUACUCCUCUCUCUCUCUCUCUCUCUCUCUCUCUCUCUCUGCCUUUAAAAUAAAAUAAUAUGUGAUUUUCAUAGACCACAAUCUUUCGUUUGAUUAAUAUUUUUUCUCUUUCUCUUUUCGCUAAGAUUAAAUUCCAAAAGAAAAUUUACUUAGUUGAGGUAGCAAUCAUCUUUCCAGCAAUCAUACUUGGCUCGGACCAAGUGGUGACAGCGGUAUGUUGAUGAUUGGCAAUAAAUUGUCUGAAUAAAUGGAUAUAAGAUCGAAUAAGUGUGCUUAAUACAUUUUGAAUCCAAUAUGAAUGAAUAUCCUCGAAGUUUUUAUAUUGUCGAAUUUUAAGUAAUCAACCAAAAUCAUUUUGCAAUUGUUACCUUAGCUAAAACUUAGGCCCAGUUUUAUUACUCCAUUCGCCACUUAAAUUUAAUAGAUUCAAAAUUUAAUAUAUACAGAUGCGUCUGAUAACUGAAAUGGAACAUCUGAAUUAAUUAAAUAACAUUGAAUUUUUUACUCAAAAUUUAUUUUCAAAAUAAGUGAUAAAUUAUUUACUUAUCACUUAAUAUCAUACAUAAUCAAAUGUAUCAAAUUUAGUACUUAAAAAUUUAAUAAUUUAAUAGAUUCAGAUUUCAAAAAUUUUAAUUUUAAGAUUUUAGUUUUAUCAAACGCACCCUUAAUCUAGUGCAAAUGAAAAAAAUUUAGAAAAUUGCCAUAGUACUUUCUUGGUAAGCCCUUCUCCAAAAGCCACAUUUAUUAUUUUGCAUAAAAAAUCAUUAUUAAUUUAUUAUGCAGUGAAAAAUAAAUGGAGAUACAACGAUACAUCCAAACAAACACAUAUAAUUGUAUCUAGUAACUAGAAAUAAUGGUAUAAGUAAGAUUAUCUAUUUUCUAUAGGAGAGAUCCCCAUUUGGUCUUGUCCAAUAUGAUUUUAUCAUUUUUGUAUCCUCAAGGAACAACAUAAAUAAGAUAUAGAUCCCAAAAAACGUAUACAGUGGGAGCUAGCAACUAGAAAUAAUGGUAGAAGCAAGAUGAAUAAACAACAUAAAAGAGAAAGUUGAUCUCAUAAAUAUUUGUUAACUGAGACAUAUUGUGUUGAGGGCAAGAAAUUAUCCCCUCCCCCCCCCCCCCCCCCCCAAACUCAAAUAUUUUAAGAAUUGCACCCCCUAAAUUUUUCAACAUUGCUCUCUUUCUUUAUAACUUUUUUUUAAUAUACUUUUAUCUUUGCCCCCACUGACCUUGGGUUCUUAUUCCACCACUAUUUCUUAAUGAUAUUUUUUAAAAAUUUUUGGGGUACAACUUUUUUUUUUUUUUUUUUUUUUUGGGUAAUAACAGGCCCGUGCCAAAAACAAUCAUGGCUUCAGUUGAUACUUCAGGGCCAGAAUCACUAAUUGGGCCAUUAUGUUGGGUCUGCCGAGAAAUAAAUAAUCUUGUCCUUAAAAAACCGAAAAAGAAAAAAAAAAUAUUAACCUUUCCCCAAGGCAAGUGGUUAAUGUAUUACAUUUUUUAAGACUUUUUAUUUAUUUAUUUUAAUUUUGGUUACCAAUUGGGACUAGUUUAGGGAUUGGGAUUCUACAAUCGGCAGAUGAAUUGCAGCAUGCAAUUCAUGGACCAGAUGGAUUCAAUUAUAAGAUAUUUGCCAAAAAAUUUUUUUUUUAAUGUAAGACAUAUUGCAAAAAACUUAAAAAUCUUUACCAUGAAAAUUGACCAAUUAAGGCAGUGUGAUGAACACUAGCAUAAAAUGUUACAAAAUAUAACAGGGUUCCUUAAGUCCAAAAUCAAUAUUUUCCUAAGUUUCUGGUCUUUUUUUUUUUUUUUUUAAAAAAGAGGUACUUCAACAUGUCAAAAAUGAAAAGAUUUUUUUUGUGGCUUUCCAAAUUUGUAUUUGCGAAUCAAAUCAAAUUUAGCAACGUCUCUUUUAACUUCUUGCACAAAGGUCUUUGAACUUCUUAUCCAAAGGUCAACUUUUAAGGUACAUAAUAAUUUUGUACCUUUUUUAGUUCCCAAUCCAAUAAUAUAUAUUCCCAUCCAGGCUCGGAUUUACUAAUUAACAAAUUUUGCCAGAAAAGCAUUAAUAGAAUGGGCUUGUUGAAUUAGUUGCAAUAGUUCAUGGGCUAAUUAAGAUGAAAAAAAGUUUAAUGGUCCGGAAGAGAAUUUGGAAUAGUUUGAUGGGCUACUAUGCACUUUACCCAAAUAAUUUGAUACCCGUUUCAUUUCAUGGGCUAAAACUCUAUCCCAAACUUUGAGGUUCUUGGAACAAGAAAAACAUGUCACACGUGACCAAAAAAUGGGGUAUUACUAUGUUGGUAUAGACUAUGCACAAUUUUAUGAUGUAAUAAUUAGGUACAAAUUACAUUGGAUUGAGAAAAAAUUGGAGGGUCAAUUAAAUAACAAGAAUAGGAUUCAAGAAUACAAGUGUUCCAAUCCCAAUUGUGGGAAAAUGUAUACUGCCCUCAAUGCUCAAGAAUUGGCUUCUUUGGCACUAGAUGAUGAGUGUUUUCGUUGCGAGUUUUGCAAUGGGGAAGUUGUGGAGGAUAUGGCUGACGAAGAAAGGUUGAAAUUUUGCAAGAAAAAUGAGAUGUUGUAGAAGAGGAGGCAUGACCAAAAUUUGGCCCAAAAAAAAAAUGUAAGGUUCAGAUUUCAUUUUAUACAUCAUUUUUUCACAUCAUAUGUGAGGCGGGGCCUAUAAAAAUUUAUUUUAUAAUUACAUAUUGUUGAAAGUAAGUUAUAUCGUGUGCAUUUUACACAAAUCUGCUCCGAACAAUUUCUUGGGGCCCUUGUCCGAAAGAAGAUGGAGCUGCAGCUUUGGCCCAUGAUUGAUCAAGUGAAUACAGUAAAGGAUUUACCUGCUCCCGAAUUUGGAAGUCUACAAGAAUGACAAGGUGGAAAAAUGUUUGCGGGGUAGACAAAGAUUGAAGUGACUUUCUCUGGAAAUUCUACAUCAUCAAAAGAUGAUGAUUGGGUAGAUUGGGGGGAAGGUUGAAGGAUUGGUGCUUCAUCAUGUCUUAUUAAUAAUUGAGACUAGUAGUUCAUUUAUUAAUUGACUUUUCCAGCUGUUGUACUAUUCUGCUGGUGGAUUAUAGAAACUUGUACAAUGAAUUCAUGAGUUGAGUAGUUAAACUUGAACAAGUUUUUUUUGUUAUAUGGCCAUUGGUACCAAAGAGAAGACUUGUGAUGUAAGUCCUGACAGAAAUUCAAUUGACUGCUAGAUGGAUUUGAGAAAAAAGAGCAAGAAAUUUUAAAAUAUCCAUUUGCCUUAUGAUUUGAUGAAUAAUGGGAAAGAAAAGAAAGGACAAAAAAAAAAAAAAAAAAAAUUGAAGUGCAAAACUUCAACUGGAUAGUGCAAACAAAAGAAAUAAGACUUCAUAAUGCAACUCCAGAACAAAACAGUAGCACUGCAAUGAGCCAUACGCAAUCUGCAGGCACCUAUCAAGUAAAAAAAAACCAGACCAACAAGCACCAAACCCCAAAAGAAGGGGAAAAAAUAAAAAAAACCAGACUAACAAGCUCAAGUUCUUGAAUGUUUUAACAGAAAGCAGAAGUUACAUGCACAAACAAGCAAACAAGAUUAUUUCCCAGGUUCUCUUGAAGAAAUUGCCACUGGACAUUCUCUAGCUAGACAUCAUGGACUGGUUGCAGAUCUUGUAUUCCAAUACUCCUCAAUUUCCUUUGCAGUUCUUCCAGGGAUUCUUCCAGCAAUUAAAGACCACCUAAAAGAUUAUGCCAUUUGUUGCUUUGGGUCAACAAGUUGCAGUUCAAACUUCAAAAAAUUUAAGUAUGCAAGACAUAAGAAAAUUUUCACCACAAAAAGAAAGAAGAAAAAGGAAUUAAUUAAUACCUUUUACCAACCAAGUUGAACAUCCUAAUGAUGAGAAUUUCCUCAUCUUCAGAGAAAUGAAGCUCAGAGUCUUGACUUUUAUCCUCUAGUGCAAAAACAACAUAAUGAAAUCGAUAAACAGGUUAUUAAACUUAAAAUCUACACAGGUCUCAUGAUGUUACCUUGAGAGCCGGCAGAUUUUUCAUUCAAAGUUGUGGAUUGAUCCGAGUCAGCCAUAAGAGAUGGAAGAAAUGUUAUAGAAAUUCAAGAAAUUGCUGACAAGUAUAUAGGAGUGAAAUAUGGAGAGAGGUGAAGUGGGGAAGGGAGGAUUCUUUUAAGUCGUAUUAAUAGGAAACAGAAGAGUCCCCAGUUAAGGUCUUGAUUGCCAUGAUGUUUGAACUAGACUGGGAGGUGAAGAAAAGCAAAUCAGGAAGAAUGGUAGUUGACACUAGUACGGCUGCAUAAAGUAUAGGGUGCUCUUUGAUUGGUAGUUCUUUUUUUCCGGUCACGAUAGAAUUUAUUCUAAAUCUACUCUACUCUUACUCUAUACUAGGCGGAGGGGGCUAAACCUACUCUUACCAUACUUGGGGGAAUUUAUUCUAAAUCUACUCUACUCUUACUCUAUACUAGGCGGAGGGGACUAAACCUACUCUUACCAUACUUGGGAGAGGGGAGACAUAAAGAGGUUCAAAAGAAAUUUGGAGGGGACUAAAUUACUACUGACUUUGAACCUGGAGGGGACUAAAUUAUCACUGAUUUAAACAGGCGUCUAUGCAUUACCUGAUAAAUUUUUUAGGACAACUUGAAUUUUUUAGAAUGCGGACCAAGGGAUUUGAUUCCUUUUAACUUAUAUCUAUUAAAACUCUCUUGAUGGUGCUCUUUGAUCGGUAGUUGGCACACUAAAUUGUUGGUUGGCAAAAGGACUUAUACUUUAAAGUUUUUUCCUGCGGCUUUUUUUUUUGUCAAACGUCCUUUGGCAUUUGUCAUUUGGGAAAUAGACAAUUGAUGGAGUUUUCAUUUUUUUAAAUCUUAUAUCCCCUGUUUACUGAAAAGGCUCUUUUUUUUAAAAAAAUGUAGGUGAGAGGUUUGAACCCAAAACUUUCAACUUACACACCUUUUUCUAAUACUUUGCAAUUUAUCCCUUCCUCUUGUACUGAAGAGACUUAAUUAUUAGUUAUACAAUAUUUUUUUGCAUUCAACGAGGGAAUCCAAACCUUAUAAAGGCGAAUGACAAGGGAGGACAAGGAGUUUGAUAGUUGAAUUUUAGAUCUCACAAUCACCUCUCUAAUCUCCCUACUAACUAAAUUGAGUUUUAGGAGCUCCUCUACUCAAUUCAUUUGAUAAAUAGUUGUAAACGUUCACGUGUACAUUUAUAUAUGGAAACUGCACAAUCGUUUAUAAAGAUGUGUUCAUAAACUAAAACAAGAUGUGUGUAUUUUUCAUUUCAAUUUUUUUGUGUAUGCAUGUUAUUUUUUUUUCAAAUUAACUUCUCCAUAUCCAAUAUUGACCGUCACUCUUUUUGAACCAUUAAUCGGUUUUGCCCCUAAUCCUUAAUAUUUUACUAUUAUAAUCCUUACAAUUAGAAUAUAAGGCCCCGUUUGCAAGUGAGUUUUGUGAGUGUUUGUUUAAAAUUUUAUUGUAGAAGUUGUAGAAAAAAUUUUUAAAUGUACAAAUUUUUGGAUAUUUUGAAAUGUGUAAUUUAAAAAUUUGAAAUUUUUUUUAAAAAUUACUGUAAUUAAAAUUAUUAAAAAACUUAUAACAGAUAAACUUGGUCAAAAACUUGCUUGCCAAAUAAGGCCUAAGUUUCGUAAGAGUGAAGGAGGCAGACAGCUAAAAGAUAAGAUCAAGCCACUUCGUACCCACAUCCACCUACUUUUUAUAGGUGUGAACAACUUCUCCAUAACAUAAUAAACAGCUUAAUAAAAACUUUUUGAAUCCCUCCAAAGAAAUUCUUCAUAAAAUAUAGGGGUUUGUCACCCCUAUCGAUAGCAUAUAUUCACUGAAUUAUGAAAAAGGUAACAGAGCCGUAAUAGAGGUGGAAAUGAGUCUAAUUAACUUAGACACCUUAUCGUUCAAGUUUGUUUGGUUAUUUUAAUGAGUUUGAAAAUUUUGUUCAAAUUUAACUUGUUUAUUUAUCGAGUCGAAUUUGAACAAAUUUUUUAUCGAGUUUAAAAAUUAUCAAGUAUAAAAUGCUGUUUAAAUUUGAUUUAACUAGUUAGCGAAUCAAAAUCGAACGAAUUCUUAUUAAGUCGAGUUUGAUCCGAGUAUUGAAUAGUUUUAUUCAUCUUUCAACCUCUACACCGCACAGUCCAACGCGAUAAUGGGUCAUAGCUUCUGGAUAAGACAAUAAUAUCAAAACCGCUGGAUAAGACAAUUAUAUCAAAGUGGCACACCCUAACUAUAGUAAAUCUCUCUUUAUUGAUAUUAUGACAAAAAGAUUACUCAGUAGGAAGUGUCAAUGAUGGCUUAGUUAGGUAAAUGAGUAAAUAUCAAACUCUCUCCUAGACUAUUGUUGAAUUGCAAUGUUUUGAUUGCUUUUUUUUUUUUUUUUUUUCAUUCAGAUUAUUAUAUAGUAAAUAGAUAGAUUUUUAGGAAAGAUGAAUAUAGGAGAACAUUAAGGGCUGUGAUUCUAUCUUUUUCGCUCUCUGUUUUUUUUUUUUUUACUUUCCAAUAAAAGGUUUUGUUUUAUGUAUUCUCAUUGUCUUUUGGUUUUGUUUUAAGUCAUGUAAGAUAAAAAUUGAUUAUGAGAAACAAUUAUCUGCUCUUGGGAAUCACUUCUGACUUCUCAAUACUUUUUCAAGAAUAUUAUUACUCACAAAUCUGAAAACUUGAAUGAAAAGGGAACUAGCUAAGUCAUCAAUGCUAGUUUUCUGAUCAUAUUAUCACUAGUUAACCCCUGAUUAUCCCCAAAAAUAACUAAUUCUGGAAUUAAGAAAAGCUUUGGGCAUAUUGACAUUUACCUUUUUUAUGGCCGAUACUUCAUUAGAAAUAAUGUGUUUUAAUGAGGCAAUGAUGCACUUUUUUUUUUAAAAAAACUGUCUCAUAUUAGCAAGUUCCUAAAAUAGCUGAUGACGCUGUUAUUUGUUUCUUUAAUUCUUAAUGAAUAACUAGAAAAUAGGAUAUCAUGAGCUUAAUACCUUUAUUAUUGAAGGUCAGAGCAGUAAAGUUAGUGUGACUAUUCCAAAGCAAAGAGGGUAAACUGUGAUUAACCUUUAUUUUUAGAGACAUCCAUUAAUUCUAGAAGAUUUUUUUGUACAAAGCUUGCAAGGUUAAAGCGACCACUUAAUUAUACGGAAAUGUUUUUUUGCACUUUUAUUUUUUAUUAAUCACACUCUCACUGUCAUUUUUAUAAUAUAGUUUUCAUUUAUUGGACUAUAUAAUAAAACAAAUGGUGAGAAUGCAAUUUAAAAAAAUGGAGUGCAAAUAACAUAUCCCUAAUUAUAUGCAACAUAUGUUAACAAAAAAAAAAAACAAUUCACAACAUUGUCAUCAAUGCAUACUAAUUUGAAAAUAAUAAACUCAGUAUGCUAAUUUUUCUUUUCUUUCUUUUCCCUAGCUGUCCUUUUCAAAAGCUUGUAGCGAAGAGUUUUACUAUCAACAGUGCCUCUAAUGUGCCAAUUGGCAGACUGCAAAACUUUUUUGGCUUUAAGUUGUCGGCAGGAACAUUGAGCACUAAAUAAAAAGUGUAAAGGAGGAAAAAGAAAAGAAAAAACAACAAGAAGGAUUUUAAAAUAGCAAUUAUUUGAGUUUCAAAUUAUGAUUGAUUUAUGAAGAGAACUGCACAUAAAACUUAGAGAAUGAGUGUGUUUGGAUUGUAAAUUAUUUGAGAUAAUUUUGUGAAAAACUACUGUAGCACUUUUUUGAUGUGAUGUAUUUGAGAUAAAAAAAUAAUUGAAAAAUGUGUUGAUGAUGCAAGCAAGUCAGUGCGUGUAAAUAAGGUGUAAAUAAUGUGCAUGACAAAAUUCUUCCAGGAAGGUUAACCUGCAGGAGAAGUAAGUAAAAAGUUCAUUUGAUAGGGUAGGUUGUUGAUGUUAACCUCAUUUAAGAAGCCAAAAUUUUUUUGUGUAAAUUCAAGCAGGAGAAAAUUUUCUCUUUCAAAAUCUUUCUAAUUGGCCUCUCUUGAUAGCCACAUAAUUGUAGGUAACUUUGUCUUUUAUCCGUCAAAACAAAAGGCCAAGCGUCUUCCUGAAACUCCCCAUGCGUGCAAAGCUCCAAGCGUCUUUUUUAGGUGCCAAACCGAGCAGUCUAUUUCAUUAGACCAAACAAAUUAACACGAGAAUGAAAAGGACAAAUGCAGCAAAAUUGGUUGGAAAUAUGUUAGCUAGCUAGUCAGCAUGGUAUUGUCACAAGUAGCAACUCAAGCUGAGAGCAAUUAUUGCGAUGGACAAAUUCCACUUUGCACCCCUAAACUUGUAUCACUUUCUUGCUUUGCACUCUAAAUUUUAAUUUUGGAUACUUUAAACUCUCAAAUUUAUCCUAUUUAAGUCUAAUCAAUAAUAAGUUUUGCAAAAUUAACAGCAUAGAGGAUAAAAAAAUCAAUAAUAAUGUGCUGAAAGAAAUUAAAAGAUGCCAAGGUAUCAUAGGAAAAAAUAAAAUAAGACAUUAUCAUUAAUUUUCACUAUCUUUUAUUUCGUCAGUUUUGCUAACAAUAUUAUUGAGAUUAUAUACAUAAAUGAUUAUAUGCUAAAAAUGGUUAAAAAAUCUAAGGGAUCUAGUUGGAAGAAAACGGGACAUUAUCAUUAAUUUUGAUACCUUUUAUCUCGUUAAUUUUGAGAACAUAAUCAUUGAUUGGAUUUAAAUGGGACAAACUUUAGAGCUUAGCCUGUAAAUUGUUCAAAUUAAAAGUUGAGGUUGCAAAGUGUCAAAAAAUGAAGUUUAGGAUACAAAGUGAGAAAGUGAUACAAGUCCAAAGAUGCAACGUCGCGGAGUUAAUCCUAUUGCGAAAAUGAAAAAUUAUCCCUUUCAAGUCUACUAUCAGUCUUGACUUGAAAAAGGUAAAUUUGGCAAUGUUUUUUGAAAAUUCUAUGUGGCAUUGAAAUUUAGGAUCUGGUAUUAACAUUAGUCUGUUAGCAUAGAUUUGGACCAAAAUGCUAUUUGAUGAUAUCUAAAUAGUUACAUUUUUUUUUUGGCACUUAUAAUGUAUGUCUCUAGCAUCUUUUGUUUUGCCUAUUAUGCUUCGCGAAGUCUAAAACUUUUCAGUGUAAAGCUUUCAUAUUAAAAUUGGGUGCUGUAUUUCUUAAUGAGAGGUAAUUUGAAUAACACUCUGUUUGGAGCUUGUCAUUCUCUAAUUGCUUCCUUAUUAAAAUAUGAUUAUUGAAGUUUUUCAUCCUGUGAUAAAUGGCUUUCUGGAAUGCUUUUUAUUGGUGUUAGGAAAUUCACAGUGAAAAAGGAAUUCCAAAAAGUGGUUGAAUUUUUAGAAUGGAGAAAGUUGAGUUUUUUCGUAGAAGUGAUUUCUUAAUAAAUGAUCUAUUCAAAAAGGUAAAAAGUGAUUUCUUGGAUUAGAUUGUCAAUAAAUUGGUUAAUUAAAAAUCUAUUUUCUAAAAUUUUUUAAUGAUGUUUAAAAAAAAUCCAUUCAAAAAGGCAAAGGUGAUUUCUGGGAUUCCCUUAGUGAUGUUUUCUGUUUUUUAUGAUGUUUUAAGGGUUAGUUUGGUGACUUUUUUUUAGUGUUGUUUUAAAAAUCUGUUUUCUAUUGUUUAUUGUCUUGUUUUGGCAUGUUACUCCAUUAGUGUGUAUGUAUAUUGUUUUAGACAGUAUUUGUGUUGCAUGGACCAAUUACUAGUACUGAUAAUUGAAAAAGUCCUUCCAAAAACUUGUACUGUAACAUUAUCCAUGCCACCAAAUGUCCAAAAAAGAGCGCUUACCAAAAUAAUUGAAGUGGUUCAGACUUUGAAACUCUUAUGGAGAAAGGACCAAGAUUUCAAACUAUUGAACGUACAUCAAUAUUUUGAGGAGUUCUUGGGAAAAAAUUAUUGUAGUAAUUUUUUUUUUUUGAAUGAGAUAACAAGAUGAUCUUUUUUAGAAUAUGAUAUAUAUGAAAUAAAAAGGUGAUUGAAAAUUAUAUAAAAAGAAAAUUCACGAAAAACAUAAAAGCUUUUUUUCAAAAAUCACAAUCCAAACAAGGCCUCAGGUUAAAGCUCAUCCCAUGAAUAGGGUGACUUAACAAGCUAGUGUGGGGGUAGGAAUGGCGUAAAAAGUUUUCAACAAGUUGGAAUGCAUCCCAAAUAACUUGUUCAAUAUUGUAACAAAAACGUAAAAGUCCAAUGUUUUUCAUUUUGAAAAGUACAUUUCAGUUGUGUCACAAGUAAGUGGCAUUAUUUUAGCCAUCUAUUAUGAAUGUUUGCCUUGUUAGUAAAAUUUGGUACUUUGUAACAUCGAUGGACGGUUGUCAGUGGUGAAUUGGUUAAAAGCAAUGGAAAGAUAGGUGACAGUUACAAAGUACCAAAUUUUUGUCUUUCAAGUGGAUUUAGACAAUAAUUAAGAACAAACAUACUUCUCUCUUAUGGCUCAAGUCUUCACUUUCAUUCUUGGAUUUCAAGUUCAAUCUUUUCAACUGGGGCAGGUGGUGGAAAAGGAAUGGGUGCUGCUUGGAUUUCAAGUUCAAUCUUUUCUAGUGGGGCAGGUGGUGGAAAAAUAAUGGGUGCCGGAAGAAUGGCAAUAAGCACUGGUGGAACAGUGAUGAAUACCAUUGCACAUAAAAGAUGGUAGCCACAAAAGGAAACCUAAUCCUUUAACCAAUGAAACAGAGUAAAUUGCACGGCUAAAUGUAGUUGCCAAGCUUGUUUAAAAACACACCUAUAGCAUCACAGUUUUGCAUAAUAGAACAUACUAUAACGUUCAGAAGGGGUACUGCAGUAACCGAUGCAAGUCAGAGGUCUGAAGCUAGACAAGAUUCAUCUGCUGUUGCUCAAAAGCCAUGAAUCUUGAUGUUCUCCUUCUUCACAAUACC